rnacentral:rRNA from 1 species
GAGCACGUAGGUGGGUUUGUAAGUCAGACGUGAAAGCCUUCUGUUCAACGGAAGAAUUGCAUCUGAAACUACAAACCUUGAGUGUAGGAGGGGAGAAUGGAACUUCUGGUGGAGCGGUGAAAUGCGUAGAUAUCAGAAGGAACGCCGGCGGCAAAAGCGAUUCUCUGGCCUAUUACUGACACUCAGUGUGCGAAAGCUAGGGGAGCAAACGGGAUUAGAUACCCCGGUAGUCCUAGCCGUAAACGAUGGGCACUAAGUAGAGGGGUUUUAA